rnacentral:rRNA from 1 species
AACGCUGGCGGCGUGCCUAACACAUGCAAGUCGAACGGAGUUAUUCGCUGAUGAAGCUUCGGCAGAAUCUUGAGUAAACUUAGUGGCGGACGGGUGAGUAACGCGUGGGCAACCUGCCUCAUACUGGGGGAUAGCAAGUUGGAAACGACUGAUAAUACCGCAUAAGCGCACAGCAUCGCAUGAUGCAGUGUGAAAAACUCCGGUGGUAUGAGAUGGGCCCGCGUCAGAUUAGCUAGUUGGUAAGGUAACGGCUUACCAAGGCGACGAUCUGUAGCCGGACUGAGAGGUCGGACGGCCACAUUGGGACUGAGACACGGCCCAAACUCCUACGGGAGGCAGCAGUGGGGGAUAUUGCACAAUGGAGGAAACUCUGAUGCAGCGACGCCGCGUGAGUGAAGAAGUAUUUCGGUAUGUAAAGCUCUAUCAGCAGGGAAGAAAGGCUCUAAGGAGAGAUGACGGUACCUGACUAAGAAGCCCCGGCUAACUACGUGCCAGCCGCCGC